UACGAAGGGAGCUAGCGUUGUUCGGAAUCACUGGGCGUAAAGCGCACGUAGGCGGAUUUGUCAGUCAGGGGUGAAAUCCCGGAGCUCAACUUCGGAACUGCCUUUGAUACAGCACGUCUUGAGUCCGAUAGAGGUGGGUGGAAUUCCUAGUGUAGAGGUGAAAUUCGUAGAUAUUAGGAAGAACACCGGUGGCGAAGGCGGCCCACUGGAUCGGUACUGACGCUGAGGUGCGAAAGCGUGGGGAGCAAACAGG
rnacentral:rRNA from 1 species